GAUGAACGCUGGCGGCGUGCUUAACACAUGCAAGUCGAACGAAGCACUUUAUUUGAUCUCCUUCGGGACUGAUUAUUUUGUGACUGAGUGGCGGACGGGUGAGUAACGCGUGGGUAACCUGCCUUGUACAGGGGGAUAACAGUUGGAAACGGCUGCUAAUACCGCAUAAGCGCACGGCAUCGCAUGAUGCAGUGUGAAAAACUCCGGUGGUAUAAGAUGGACCCGCGUUGGAUUAGCUAGUUGGUGAGGUAACGGCCCACCAAGGCGACGAUCCAUAGCCGACCUGAGAGGGUGACCGGCCACAUUGGGACUGAGACACGGCCCAAACUCCUACGGGAGGCAGCAGUGGGGAAUAUUGCACAAUGGGCGAAAGCCUGAUGCAGCGACGCCGCGUGAGCGAAGAAGUAUUUCGGUAUGUAAAGCUCUAUCAGCAGGGAAGAUAAUGACGGUACCUGACUAAGAAGCACCGGCUAAAUACGUG
rnacentral:rRNA from 1 species